UCCCCUUCCCCUCCCCGCCAUCACUGAUCAACUAGGACUCUACCCAAGAAGAGCUUUGAACAGAUCAGUGCCAAUAUAACUAAGUUUAACAUUCAGGGCCUUGUCAUCAUUGGGGGCUUUGAGGCUUACACAGGGGGCCUGGAACUGAUGGAGGGCAGGAAGCAGUUUGAUGAGCUCUGCAUCCCAUUUGUGGUCAUUCCUGCUACAGUCUCCAACAAUGUCCCUGGCUCAGACUUCAGCGUUGGGGCUGACACAGCACUCAAUACUAUCUGCACAGUGAGAGCCUAUCACCACUUCCCAUCCCUUUUGGCCAGGAUUAUAAUCCUUAAACUGAGUGUGGUCCCAAACAGUGAGCUACUCUUUAUAUCAAGCAAAUGGGAAUGUUUGAAAAUGAUUCUUCAGCUGGGCAUGGUGGCUCACACUUCUAAUCCCAGCACUUUGGGAGGCCAAGGCAGGCAGAUCACUUGGGGUCAGGAGUUCAAGAGCAGCCUGGCCAACAUGGUGAAACCCCAUCUCUACUAAAAAUACAAAAAUUAGCUGGGUGUGGUGGUAGGCGCCUGUAAUCCCAGCUACUUGGGAGGCUGAGGC
rnacentral:sRNA from 1 species